GUUGAAGAACGCAGCGAAAUGCGAUAAGUAAUGUGAAUUGCAGAAUUCAGUGAAUCAUCGAAUCUUUGAACGCACAUUGCGCCCCUUGGUAUUCCGGGGGGCAUGCCUGUUCGAGCGUCAUUAUCACCCCUCAAGCUCAGCUUGGUGUUGGGGCCGGCCCGUCACAGGGCCGCCCCUAAAAGCAGUGGCGGUGCCAUCUGGCUCUACGCGUAGUAAUACUCCUCGCGACAGAGUCCCGGUGGUCUCCUGCCAGAACCCCCCAUUUUUUAAUGAUUGACCUCGGAUCAGGUAGGGAUACCCGCUGAACUUAAGCAUAUCAAUAAGCGGAGGA
rnacentral:misc_RNA from 1 species